ACUGCCCCCAUAGGUGUUACAUAUAUGGAUGGUAUGUCACAUGUGUGAUAGUUAGUGGUAAAAUGGGGACAAGGUUUUUCUAUGCUCAGUGUUCUGACCUCUAUGAACAUCUGAAUUAUUAGUGUCUAAACACU